CCUGGUGGCUCAGAGAGUAAAGCGUCUGCCUGCAGUGCAGGAGACCCAGGUUCAGUCCCUGGGUCAGGA
rnacentral:tRNA from 1 species